AUUGAACGCUGGCGGCAGGCCUAACACAUGCAAGUCGAACGGUAGCACAGAGAGCUUGCUCUCGGGUGACGAGUGGCGGACGGGUGAGUAACGUCUGGGAAACUGCCCGAUGGAGGGGGAUAACUACUGGAAACGGUAGCUAAUACCGCAUAACGUCGCAAGACCAAAGUGGGGGACCUUCGGGCCUCACACCAUCGGAUGUGCCCAGGUGGGAUUAGCUAGUAGGUGGGGUAAUGGCUCACCUAGGCGACGAUCCCUAGCUGGUCUGAGAGGAUGACCAGCCACACUGGAACGGGGACACGGGCCAGACUCCUACGGGAGGCAGCAGUGGGGAAUAUUGCACAAUGGGCGAAAGCCUGAUGCAGCCAUGCCGCGUGUAUGAAGAAGGCCUUCGGGUUGUAAAGUACUUUCAGCGGGGAGGAAGGCGGUGAAGUUAAUAGCUUCACCGAUAGACGUUACCCGCAGAAGAAGCACCGGCUAACUACGUGCCAGCCGCCGCCGUAA
rnacentral:rRNA from 1 species